rnacentral:rRNA from 1 species
AUUGAACGCUGGCGGCAGGCCUAACACAUGCAAGUCGAGCGGUAACAGGGGAGCUUGCUCCCGCUGACGAGCGGCGGACGGGUGAGUAACGCACAGGAAUCUACCCAGUAGCGGGGGAUA